UUAGAAAAUACAAAACAAACAAACAAAAAAAAAGCGAGUAGAGUCACGUGACAAACCUUAGUGCGGAGAGUGUCCAGUUCAUCCAUGCUCUCCUUGUAACUUCUCUUCAGGUCGUCCAGCUCUUUAGCCUUCACACGAUGCACCUGCAACAUGGACAUCAGUCCGUCAACAUUCAUUCAUUUUCUACCACUUUUCCUCACGAGGGUCGCGGGGGGUGCUGGAGCCUAUCCCAGCUGUCUUCGGGCGAGAGGCGGGAUACACCCUGGACUGGUGGCCAGCCAAUCACAGGGCACAUAUAGACAAACAACCAUUCACACUCACAUUCAUACCUAUGGACAAUUUGGAGUCUCCAAUUAACCUAGCAUGUUUUUGGAAUGUGGGAGGAAACCGGAGUACCCGGAGAAAACUCCACACAGAGAUGGCCGAGGGUGGAAUUGAACCAUGGUCUCCUAGCUGUGAGGGCUGCGCGCUAACCACUUGACCGCCGUGGCGCUUCUGUCAACAUUGGAAUGAUAAUAAAACAAGAGCGCUCAAGAGGCUUAAUUGUCACUAGUAUCUGCACGUGCUCAGUGGGAUUACAUUUAAUACGUUUUUUUAAACACUGGUAGUCCCGCAAAAAAACGAUGUCAACAUGUUAGCGAUGUUGUAGAAAAAAAUGCUAAAGGUACUUAAAUAACCUCUUUUCGCAAGAAACUAAGGAUUGUCCAGUCUUUACUUUCAGACAGGAUGCGACAUUUUAAAAAAAAUUAAUCAACGAAAAAAUUUAACUCCUAGAAAGUUGGUUUCGGCAGCUAUGCGGAAGUCCUAGUGAGCACUUGUAAGUGUAACCAACCACAGCAUAAUGGGCAUGCUUGGAGGUGGGCUGUGGGUGGAAUAAAUUAAAACACACCGUUUUCCCUGGGAAGCAGGAAAAACCCAAAGAAAUACAACUGGAAUAGGAGCAGAUUCCGGAACAUCGAGAAAAGGUUUCUGUGCUGGUUAUUGUGUGUCGCUGCUCUAUAGCGGUCCACAACUCAAAACAAAGGGACGAAAAAUUUGCAUCAUAGGUCCCCUAAUAUUUUACAUCAUCAUCAAAGUGCUUUUGAGAUAGAGUUGGUUUUCAUUAUUACAAAUUGAACUGACAUAAACUCCAGAUUGAUGUAUAAGAUGGUGGAUCUAAAGAUGCAUAUUUCUUCCCACAAUACUUAUCAUUCAACUUGAAACAGACCGAGUGGUUUUAAACAACCACUCAAUAUAAAGUGUCCUCCAUUCUAUUUGCAUUUCAUCAGAGCCACGUCAUUUUAAAAUCAGCUUUCAUGUAAAAAUGAUUUCUGAUGCGCGCUCAUUAAGAACAUGAAAGCAGCGGGGGAAGUCAUGUUGUGUCUCAUCUUUUAAACAAAGCUAUUAAAAGCGAGGCUGGCGAGAGUCAACUUUUCCAAGAAGCUAUUAAGCGGCCCGCGGUAUCCAAGACAACAUCCCGCUCAAUGAGAUGGAGGCAAAUGUAUUUCUUCUUUGCUUCGUUAAUUCAUGCCUUCCCCUCUCAUUGCCAUGCUAAUGGGGACCCAGAUGUUUAUUUUUUUAUUUAUUAUUUAUGUUCUGUUAAGCAUUACUGACUGUGAUAAAGAAUGAAAAUAACAACAGCAUCAUAAACAUUCGUGGUAAAUGAUGGAAGUGGACAGCAUGUGAGGAACGUCUUCUGGUUCUCCUUUGGUCUCCCUGAGUUUAGCAUCCAGCUCGUUGGACUUGAUCUCUUCGGAUUCCUGGAGGACAAAUAAUAUGCUUUACAAUCGGCUCCCUCAGCAACUCCUCCACCCUGCCCUCCAACUGUCAACACAGGGGACACAAGAG